rnacentral:rRNA from 1 species
GUCCUCAUGAUUUUUUUUGAGGUCUGACCUGCCCAGUGAGUAUUUUAACGGCCGCGGUAUAUUGACCGUGCAAAGGUAGCAUAAUCAUUAGUCUUUUAAUAGGAGGCUGGAAUGAAAGGUUUAACGAAAAAUUGACUGUCUUAAUUAUAAAUUUGAAUUUAGCUUUUAAGUUAAAAGGCUUAAAUUUUUUUGGUGGACGAGAAGACCCUAUAGAGCUUUACACUAACUAUUUAUUGAAUUAUUUAGUUUUAUUAUUAUAUUUUAAUAUAUUUUGUGUUUUGUUGGGGUGACAAAAAUAUAAAUUUAACUUUUUUAACUUAUAUACAUUAAUUUAUGUUAUUUUGAUCCAAAAUUUUUGAUCAAUAGAUUAAGUUACCUUAGGGAUAACAGCGUAAUCCUCUUUCAGAGUUCAAAUUUACAAGGGGGUUUGCGACCUCGAUGUUGGAUUAAGAAAAUAAUUAGGUGCAGUAGCUUAAUUAAUAGGUCUGUUCGACCUUUAAAUUCUUACAUGAUCUGAGUUCAGACCGG